rnacentral:rRNA from 1 species
GAUGAACGCUGGCGGCGUGCCUAACACAUGCAAGUCGAGCGAACAGACGCGGCUUUUGCUUGGCUGCCGUGAGCGGCGGACGGGUGAGUAACACGUGUCUACCUUACAUUUAAGGCUGAGAUCACUACGGGAAACCGGAUCUAACACCGGAUAAGAUAGUGAACCGGAUGGUUCAUUAGAGAAAGACGGUUUUGCUGUCACUUAUAGAUGGUUCCGAGCUGCAUUAGUGAGUUGGUAGGAUAACGGCUUACCAAGGCUACGAUGCGUGGCCGACCUGAGAGGAUGAUCGGCCACACUGGAACUGAGACACGGUCCAGACUCCUACGGGAGGCAGCAGUAGGGAAUCUUCCGCAAUGGGCGAAAGCCUGACGCAGCAACGCCGCGUGUGUGAUGAAGGUCUUCGGAUCGUAAAGCUCUGUUAGUAGGGAAGAACGGAUGUGAAAGUAACUAUGGACGUCUUGACGGUACCUAAUGAAAAAGCAACGGCUAACUACGUG